ACUCAAAUGAAUUGACGGGGACCCGCACAAGCGGUGGAGCGUGUUCUUUAAUUCGAAGGUAAGCGAAGAACCUUACCAGGGUUUGACAUCCAUGGAAUUUUUUCGAAAGAAAAGAGUGCUUUAUUGAACCAUGUGACAGGUGUUGCAUGGCCGUCGUCAGCUCGUGUCGUGAGAUGUUUGGUUAAGUCCAUUAACGAGCGCAACCCUUGUAUUCAGUUGAAUUUUUCUGAAUAGACUGCCCCGGUAACGGGGAGGAAGGAGGGGAUGAUGUCAGGUCAGUAUUACCCUUACACCCUGGGCUAGAAACACGCUACAAUGGCCGGUACAAAGGGCUGCCAAGUCGUGAGACGGAGCAAAUCCCAUCAAAGCCGGUCCCAGUUCGGAUAGCAGGCUGAAACUCGCCUGCUUGAAGUUGGAAUCGCUAGUAACGGUAGGUCAGCACACUACCGUGAAUACGUUCCCGGGUCUUGUACACACCGCCCGU
rnacentral:rRNA from 1 species